UAGACGCUACAAUAAUGUUAAAAUACAGAUUACAAGAAAGUUAGGGUGAUUUAAGACAACAGUGAUAGGUUAAAGAUGCAAAGUUAGGGUGAUGUUAGACAAGAUGGGACAGACUAAGUGAUAGGUUAAAGAUGCAAAGUUAGGGUGAUGUUAGACAAGAUAGGACAGAACAACAGUGAUAGGUUAAAGAUACAAAGUUAGGGUGAUGUUAGACAAGAUAGGACAGAACAAGUGAUAGGUUAAAGAUGCAAGCAAAGUUAGGGUGAUGUUAGACAAGAUAGGACAGACUAAGUGAUAGGUUAUAGAUACAAAAUGUUGCGUUAAUAUUUAGAGAAGUUACAAUUACAGAAUACAAGAGAGUGAAAAUAAAUACAGACAAGAAAGGUUAAAGUUAUGGUGAAAAUAAAGAUACAUGACAAAUUUAGACAAGUUAGAAUAAUAUUGAUAAUUUAAUGGCACUAUAAAAAGUAAUGGUAAAUAUAGACUGGAUUAAGAGUAAUGGUGAUGGAUUUAAGACACCCCCAAAAAAAGUAAUGAAUUUAGAUUAGUUACAAUAAUGGUGAUGGAUUUAAAGAUGCAAGUGUUAUGACAAAUUUAGAAUAAUAUUGAUAAUUUAAUGGCACUAUAAAAAGUAAUGGUAAAUAUAAUGGUGAUGGAUUUAAGACACCCCCAAAAAAAGUAAUGAAUUUAGAUAAGUUACAAUAAUGGUGAUGGAUUUAAAGAUGCAAGUUGGAUAAGUUGGAAUAAUGUUGAUAAUUUACAGACAAAAAAAAAAAAAAAUCAACGAGUCACAAUUAAGUUUAGACAAGAAAAAAUUUAGAUAAAAGUGUCAUGGCAAAUUGAGACAAGAAUAAUGUUGAUAAUUUAGAC